rnacentral:rRNA from 1 species
ACUCCUACGGGAGGCAGCAGUAAGGAAUAUUGGUCAAUGGGCGGAAGCCUGAACCAGCCAUGCCGCGUGCGGGAAGAAGGCCCUCUGGGUUGUAAACCGCUUUUGUCAGGGAAGAAUGGAGAGGAUUCAUCCUCUUAGGGACGGUACCUGAAGAAUAAGCACCGGCUAACUCCGUGCCAGCAGCCGCGGUAAUAC